GAAGGACGUUACUAACGACGAUAUGCUUUGGGGAGCUGUAAGUAAGCUUUGAUCCAGAGAUUUCCGAAUGGGGAAACCCAGCAUGAGUUAUGUCAUGUUAUCGAUAUGUGAAUACAUAGCAUAUCAGAAGGCACACCCGGAGAACUGAAACAUCUUAGUACCCGGAGGAAGAGAAAGAAAAUUCGAUUCCCUUAGUAGCGGCGAGCGAAACGGGAAGAGCCCAAACCAACAAGCUUGCUUGUUGGGGUUGUAGGACACUCUAUACGGAGUUACAAAGGACGACAUUAGACGAAUCAUCUGGAAAGAUGAAUCAAAGAAGGUAAUAAUCCUGUAGUCGAAAAUGUUGUCUCUCUUGAGUGGAUCCUGAGUACGACGGAGCACGUGAAAUUCCGUCGGAAUCUGGGAGGACCAUCUCCUAAGGCUAAAUACUCUCUAGUGACCGAUAGUGAACCAGUACCGUGAGGGAAAGGUGAAAAGCACCCCGGAAGGGGAGUGAAAUAGAACCUGAAACCGUGUGCUUACAAGUAGUCAGAGCCCGUUAAUGGGUGAUGGCGUGCCUUUUGUAGAAUGAACCGGCGAGUUACGAUUUGAUGCAAGGUUAAGCAGUAAAUGUGGAGCCGUAGCGAAAGCGAGUCUGAAUAGGGCGUUUAGUAUUUGGUCGUAGACCCGAAACCAGGUGAUCUACCCUUGGUCAGGUUGAAGUUCAGGUAACACUGAAUGGAGGACCGAACCGACUUACGUUGAAAAGUGAGCGGAUGAACUGAGGGUAGCGGAGAAAUUCCAAUCGAACCUGGAGAUAGCUGGUUCUCUCCGAAAUAGCUUUAGGGCUAGCCUCAAGUGAUGAUUAUUGGAGGUAGAGCACUGUUUGGACGAGGGGCCCCUCUCGGGUUACCGAAUUCAGACAAACUCCGAAUGCCAAUUAAUUUAACUUGGGAGUCAGAACAUGGGUGAUAAGGUCCGUGUUCGAAAGGGAAACAGCCCAGACCACCAGCUAAGGUCCCAAAAUAUAUGUUAAGUGGAAAAGGAUGUGGCGUUGCCCAGACAACUAGGAUGUUGGCUUAGAAGCAGCCAUCAUUUAAAGAGUGCGUAAUAGCUCACUAGUCGAGUGACACUGCGCCGAAAAUGUACCGGGGCUAAACAUAUUACCGAAGCUGUGGAUUGUCCUUUGGACAAUGGUAGGAGAGCGUUCUAAGGGCGUUGAAGCAUGAUCGUAAGGACAUGUGGAGCGCUUAGAAGUGAGAAUGCCGGUGUGAGUAGCGAAAGACGGGUGAGAAUCCCGUCCACCGAUUGACUAAGGUUUCCAGAGGAAGGCUCGUCCGCUCUGGGUUAGUCGGGUCCUAAGCUGAGGCCGACAGGCGUAGGCGAUGGAUAACAGGUUGAUAUUCCUGUACCACCUAUAAUCGUUUUAAUCGAUGGGGGGACGCAGUAGGAUAGGCGAAGCGUGCGAUUGGAUUGCACGUCUAAGCAGUAAGGCUGAGUAUUAGGCAAAUCCGGUACUCGUUAAGGCUGAGCUGUGAUGGGGAGAAGACAUUGUGUCUUCGAGUCGUUGAUUUCACACUGCCGAGAAAAGCCUCUAGAUAGAAAAUAGGUGCCCGUACCGCAAACCGACACAGGUAGUCAAGAUGAGAAUUCUAAGGUGAGCGAGCGAACUCUCGUUAAGGAACUCGGCAAAAUGACCCCGUAACUUCGGGAGAAGGGGUGCUCUUUAGGGUUAACGCCCAGAAGAGCCGCAGUGAAUAGGCCCAAGCGACUGUUUAUCAAAAACACAGGUCUCUGCUAAACCGUAAGGUGAUGUAUAGGGGCUGACGCCUGCCCGGUGCUGGAAGGUUAAGAGGAGUGGUUAGCUUCUGCGAAGCUACGAAUCGAAGCCCCAGUAAACGGCGGCCGUAACUAUAACGGUCCUAAGGUAGCGAAAUUCCUUGUCGGGUAAGUUCCGACCCGCACGAAAGGCGUAACGAUUUGGGCACUGUCUCAACGAGAGACUCGGUGAAAUCAUAGUACCUGUGAAGAUGCAGGUUACCCGCGACAGGACGGAAAGACCCCGUGGAGCUUUACUGUAGCCUGAUAUUGAAAUUCGGCACAGCUUGUACAGGAUAGGUAGGAGCCUUUGAAACGUGAGCGCUAGCUUACGUGGAGGCGCUGGUGGGAUACUACCCUAGCUGUGUUGGCUUUCUAACCCGCACCACUUAUCGUGGUGGGAGACAGUGUCAGGCGGGCAGUUUGACUGGGGCGGUCGCCUCCUAAAAGGUAACGGAGGCGCUCAAAGGUUCCCUCAGAAUGGUUGGAAAUCAUUCAUAGAGUGUAAAGGCAUAAGGGAGCUUGACUGCGAGACCUACAAGUCGAGCAGGGUCGAAAGACGGACUUAGUGAUCCGGUGGUUCCGCAUGGAAGGGCCAUCGCUCAACGGAUAAAAGCUACCCCGGGGAUAACAGGCUUAUCUCCCCCAAGAGUUCACAUCGACGGGGAGGUUUGGCACCUCGAUGUCGGCUCAUCGCAUCCUGGGGCUGUAGUCGGUCCCAAGGGUUGGGCUGUUCGCCCAUUAAAGCGGUACGCGAGCUGGGUUCAGAACGUCGUGAGACAGUUCGGUCCCUAUCCGUCGUGGGCGUAGGAAAUUUGAGAGGAGCUGUCCUUAGUACGAGAGGACCGGGAUGGACAUACCUCUGGUGUACCAGUUGUCGUGCCAACGGCAUAGCUGGGUAGCUAUGUGUGGACGGGAUAAGUGCUGAAAGCAUCUAAGCAUGAAGCCCCCCUCAAGAUGAGAUUUCCCAACUUCGGUUAU
rnacentral:rRNA from 1 species